GGAGAGAUGGCAGAGUGGCCGAUUGCGGCGGUCUUGAAAACCGUUGAGGGGCAACCCUCCAGGGGUUCGAAUCCCUUUCUCUCCGCCA
rnacentral:tRNA from 1 species